rnacentral:rRNA from 1 species
CCUACGGGGGGCAGCAGUGGGGAAUUUUGGACAAUGGGCGCAAGCCUGAUCCAGCAAUGCCGCGUGCGGGAAGAAGGCCUUCGGGUUGUAAACCGCUUUUGUACGGAACGAAAAGGCUCUGGCGAAUACCUGGGGCUGAUGACGGUACCGUAAGAAUAAGCACCGGCUAACUACGUGCCAGCAGCCGCGGUAAUACGUAGGGUGCGAGCGUUAAUCGGAAUUACUGGGCGUAAAGCGUGCGCAGGCGGUUGUGUAAGACAGGCGUGAAAUCCCCGGGCUUAACCUGGGAAUGGCGCUUGUGACUGCACGGCUGGAGUACGGCAGAGGGGGAUGGAAUUCCGCGUGUAGCAGUGAAAUGCGUAGAUAUGCGGAGGAACACCGAUGGCGAAGGCAGUCCCCUGGGCCUGUACUGACGCUCAUGCACGAAAGCGUGGGGAGCAAACAGGAUUAGAUACCCCGGUAGUC